CCCCCAGUAGCGGCGAGCGAACGGGGAAGAGCCCAGAGUCUGAAUCAGCUGGUGUGUUAGUGGAAGCGUCUGGAAAGUCGCACGGUACAGGGUGAUAGUCCCGUACACAAAAGCACACCUUCUGUGAACUCGAUGAGUAGGGCGGGACACGUGACAUCCUGUCUGAAUAUGGGGGGACCAUCCUCCAAGGCUAAAUACUCCUGACUGACCGAUAGUGAACCAGUACCGUGAGGGAAAGGCGAAAAGAACCCCGGCGAGGGGAGUGAAAUAGAACCUGAAACCGUGUACGUACAAGCAGUGGGAGCACCUUCGUGGUGUGACUGCGUACCUUUUGUAUAAUGGGUCAGCGACUUAUAUUUUGUAGCAAGGUUAACCGAAUAGGGGAGCCGUAGGGAAACCGAGUCUUAACUGGGCGUCUAGUUGCAAGGUAUAGACCCGAAACCCGGUGAUCUAGCCAUGGGCAGGUUGAAGGUUGGGUAACACUAACUGGAGGACCGAACCGACUAAUGUUGAAAAAUUAGCGGAUGACUUGUGGCUGGGGGUGAAAGGCCAAUCAAACCGGGAGAUAGCUGGUUCUCCCCGAAAGCUAUUUAGGUAGCGCCUCGUGAACUCAUCUUCGGGGGUAGAGCACUGUUUCGGCUAGGGGGUCAUCCCGACUUACCAAACCGAUGCAAACUCCGAAUACCGAAGAAUGUUAUCACGGGAGACACACGGCGGGUGCUAACGUCCGUCGUGAAGAGGGAAACAACCCAGACCGCCAGCUAAGGUCCCAAAGUCAUGGUUAAGUGGGAAACGAUGUGGGAAGGCAUAGACAGCCAGGAUGUUGGCUUAGAAGCAGCCAUCAUUUAAAGAAAGCGUAAUAGCUCACUGGUCGAGUCGGCCUGCGCGGAAGAUGUAACGGGGCUAAACCAUGCACCGAAGCUGCGGCAGCGACACUUAGGUGUUGUUGGGUAGGGGAGCGUUCUGUAAGCCGUUGAAGGUGGCCUGUGAGGGCUGCUGGAGGUAUCAGAAGUGCGAAUGCUGACAUAAGUAACGAUAAUGCGGGUGAAAAACCCGCACGCCGGAAGACCAAGGGUUCCUGUCCAACGUUAAUCGGGGCAGGGUGAGUCGACCCCUAAGGCGAGGCUGAAAAGCGUAGUCGAUGGGAAACAGGUUAAUAUUCCUGUACUUGGUGUUACUGCGAAGGGGGGACGGAGAAGGCUAGGCUAGCCGGGCGACGGUUGUCCCGGUUUAAGCAUGUAGGCGGAGUGACUUGGUAAAUCCGGUUGCUUAUCAACGCUGAGGUGUGAUGACGAUGCACUACGGUGCAGAAGUAGUUGAUGCCAAGCUUCCAGGAAAAGCCUCUAAGCAUCAGGUAACAUUGAAUCGUACCCCAAACCGACACAGGUGGUCAGGUAGAGAAUACUCAGGCGCUUGAGAGAACUCGGGUGAAGGAACUAGGCAAAAUGGUGCCGUAACUUCGGGAGAAGGCACGCUGGCAUUAGGUAAAGAGACUUGCUCUCGGCGCCGAAGCCAGUCGCAGAUACCAGCUGGCUGCAACUGUUUAAUAAAAACACAGCACUGUGCAAACACGAAAGUGGACGUAUACGGUGUGACGCCUGCCCGGUGCUGGAAGGUUAAUUGAUGGGGUCAGCCGCAAGGCGAAGCUCUUGAUCGAAGCCCCAGUAAACGGCGGCCGUAACUAUAACGGUCCUAAGGUAGCGAAAUUCCUUGUCGGGUAAGUUCCGACCUGCACGAAUGGCGUAAUGAUGGCCAGGCUGUCUCCACCCGAGACUCAGUGAAAUUGAACUCGCUGUGAAGAUGCAGUGUACCCGCGGCAAGACGGAAAGACCCCGUGAACCUUUACUAUAGCUUGACACUGAACAUUGAGCCUUGAUGUGUAGGAUAGGUGGGAGGCAUUGAAGUGUGGACGCCAGUCUGCAUGGAGCCAACCUUGAAAUACCACCCUUUAAUGUUUGAUGUUCUAACUCGGCCCCAUAAUCUGGGGUGAGGACAGUGUCUGGUGGGUAGUUUGACUGGGGCGGUCUCCUCCCAAAGAGUAACGGAGGAGCACGAAGGUUAGCUAAUCACGGUCGGACAUCGUGAGGUUAGUGCAAAGGCAUAAGCUAGCUUGACUGCGAGAGUGACGGCUCGAGCAGGUACGAAAGUAGGUCUUAGUGAUCCGGUGGUUCUGAAUGGAAGGGCCAUCGCUCAACGGAUAAAAGGUACUCCGGGGAUAACAGGCUGAUACCGCCCAAGAGUUCAUAUCGACGGCGGUGUUUGGCACCUCGAUGUCGGCUCAUCACAUCCUGGGGCUGAAGUAGGUCCCAAGGGUAUGGCUGUUCGCCAUUUAAAGUGGUACGCGAGCUGGGUUUAGAACGUCGUGAGACAGUUCGGUCCCUAUCUGCCGUGGGCGUUGGAAGAUUGAGAGGGGCUGCUCCUAGUACGAGAGGACCGGAGUGGACGAAUCACUGGUGUUCGGGUUGUCAUGCCAAUGGCAUUGCCCGGUAGCUAAAUUCGGAAGAGAUAACCGCUGAAAGCAUCUAAGCGGGAAACUUGCCUCGAGAUGAGUCUUCCCUGGGGCUUUAAGCCCCCUGAAGGAACGUUAAAGACUAUGACGUUGAUAGGCUGGGUGUGUAAGUGCAGCGAUGCAUUGAGCUAACCAGUACUAAUGAUCCGUGAGGCUUAACCUU
rnacentral:rRNA from 1 species